rnacentral:rRNA from 1 species
AAUUCGUAGAUAUUCGGAAGAACACCAGUGGCGAAGGCGACAUACUGGCUCAUUACCGACGCUGAGGCGCGAAAGCGUGGGGAGCAAACAGGAUUAGAUACCCUGGUAGUCCACGCCGUAAACGAUGAUUGCUAGUUGUCGGGCUGCAUGCAGGGNGNNAACGCAGCUAACGCAUUAAGCAAUCCGCCUGGGGAGUACGGUCGCAAGAUUAAAACUCAAAGGAAUUUUCCCCNAGCGGGGGGG